rnacentral:rRNA from 1 species
CCGGCGCACGGGUGAGUAACACGUAUCCAACCUGCCGUCUACUCUUGGACAGCCUUCUGAAAGGAAGAUUAAUACAAGAUGGCAUCAUGAGUCCGCAUGUUCACAUGAUUAAAGGUAUUCCGGUAGACGAUGGGGAUGCGUUCCAUUAGAUAGUAGGCGGGGUAACGGCCCACCUAGUCUUCGAUGGAUAGGGGUUCUGAGAGGAAGGUCCCCCACAUUGGAACUGAGACACGGUCCAAACUCCUACGGGAGGCAGCAGUGAGGAAUAUUGGUCAAUGGGCGAGAGCCUGAACCAGCCAAGUAGCGUGAAGGAUGACUGCCCUAUGGGUUGUAAACUUCUUUUAUAAAGGAAUAAAGUCGGGUAUGCAUACCCGUUUGCAUGUACUUUAUGAAUAAGGAUCGGCUAACUCCGUGCCAGCAGCCGCGGUAAUACGGAGGAUCCGAGCGUUAUCCGGAUUUAUUGGGUUUAAAGGGAGCGUAGAUGGAUGUUUAAGUCAGUUGUGAAAGUUUGCGGCUCAACCGUAAAAUUGCAGUUGAUACUGGAUAUCUUGAGUGCAGUUGAGGCAGGCGGAAUUCGUGGUGUAGCGGUGAAAUGCUUAGAUAUCACGAAGAACUCCGAUUGCGAAGGCAGCCUGCUAAGCUGCAACUGACAUUGAGGCUCGAAAGUGCGGGUAUCAAACAGGAUUAGAUCACCCUGGUAGUCCCACCACGGUAAACG